ensembl:lncRNA
CAAAUACACACACUCAUAGAGAGACAGACUUAAGGGACAGGCCUACACACUCUGAUUCUGAGACACAGAAAUACGUCGGUUUUUAACCUGCUCUUUGGAUUCAACCUGCUCUUUGGAUUGACUUCCAAUAUAUAUUUGCUGAAGUUUCUACAUUUGUUUAACAUUUGUUGGGCCCGCUGAACGGAUGUCCGUACACGAUUCUGUCUUUGGCCUUGAUCAGGAAGACAUGGCACAAUCUGAUGCUGGAGAAGGGACAUCUGAUCUGCAAUCCACACCUCUCCUCUCUCCGGAGCUACCUGCAGGUCAAGCAACAACCAGUACCACAUCCAGCUCUCCAGCUUCCUCCAGUGAAGCACAGCCUGCAGCAGUAUUUUUCCGCCUCCUCAUUGGCCUGGUGUCCACCGUCCUGGGAGGUGUGCUGACAGGGCAGAUGGUGGUGGUCACCGCUCAGAUCCUGGAGACUGUCGGAGAAGACGGGCCGCUGAUGGAGGCACUCAGUAACACACUGGCAAAUGACACCUAUGCCGGCGUCAGAGACACGCACCUGUCUUCAGCUGUUACUCAUUUCAGUCUGAUUUGGUCUUUUUUGAUACUGGUUCUGGGGGUCUGGGCUGGAAACGGCACAUACUCCGAGGUCAUUCAAAGGGUGGGGGAAUCCAAAAAAACCACGGCCCUGGGUGUUGCUGGGUCUGUGUGUCUCCUGUGUAUAUUUGUGCCAUUUUCCUUUCUGGGUUUUACUUUGAAACAUUGGUUGUUGUUUAGUGGGAGGACUGUAGUAACCAACCAUUCAGCAAUUUUUUUUUGGACCCUCUUUUCUUUUUCUUGUUUAUUUCUCU